rnacentral:tRNA from 1 species
GGUGAGGUGUCCGAGUGGCUGAAGGACCACGCCUGGAAAGUGUGUAUACGGCAUCGUAUCGGGGGUUCGAUCCCCCCCCUCCCCGCCA